UGCGUAGGCGGUCUUUUAAGUCAGAAGUGAAAGGCUACGGCUUAACCGUAGUAAGCUUUUGAAACUGGAGGACUUGAGUGCAGGAGAGGAGAGUGGAAUUCCUAGUGUAGCGGUGAAAUGCGUAGAUAUUAGGAGGAACACCAGUAGCGAAGGCGGCUCUCUGGACUGUAACUGACGCUGAGGCACGAAAGCGUGGGGAGCAAACA
rnacentral:rRNA from 1 species